UCCGAAAUGGUGUAAAGGUAACAUCGCCGUCUCUCAUCUACCAAGAUAUCACGGCAGCUCGGGGUUCGAUUCCCCGUUUCGGAG